GCUAGACCACCUGAAGACCCACCACAAGCAGAAACAACAGGAAGAGACACUUGGCGUGAUGACACACUUUCAACUUCUUUAUCAUCGAUUGCUACAAAACUGAGUGAACAUUAUUUGGACCGGGUGCAGCAGAACCCAUCUAUAGAACACAUGGCUCCUCCCAGCCCCACUC